GACGAACGCUGGCGGCGUGCCUAAUACAUGCAAGUUGAGCGAUGAAGAUUGGUGCUUGCACCAAUUUGAAGAGCAGCGAACGGGUGAGUAACGCGUGGGGAAUCUGCCUUUGAGCGGGGGACAACAUUUGGAAACGAAUGCUAAUACCGCAUAACAACUUUAAACAUAAGUUUUAAGUUUGAAAGAUGCAAUUGCAUCACUCAAAGAUGAUCCCGCGUUGUAUUAGCUAGUUGGUGAGGUAAAGGCUCACCAAGGCGAGGAUACAUAGCCGACCUGAGAGGGUGAUCGGCCACAUUGGGAGUGAGACACGGCCCAAACUGCUACGGGAGGCAGCAGGAGGGAAGCUUCGGCAAUGGACGGAAGUCUGACCGAGGAACGCCGGGUGAGUGAAGAAGGGUGUCGGAUCGGAAAACUCUGUUGGUAGAGAAGAAAGUUGGUGAGAGUGGAAAGCUCAUCAAGUGACGGUAACUACACAGAAAGGGACGGCUAACUACGUG
rnacentral:rRNA from 1 species